rnacentral:rRNA from 1 species
CGUCUCCGUUUUCUCGGAUUUUUAAGUUUUUUUUUCAGCUCAGGACGAACGCUGGCGGCGUGCCUAAUACAUGCAAGUCGAGCGGACUUAAAGGGAAGGUUGCUCCUGGAUGUUAGCGGCGGACGCGUGAGUAACACGUGGGUAUCCUGCCUGUAAGACUGGGAUAACUCCGGGAAACCGGAGCUAAUACCGGAUAGUUCCUUGAACCGCAUGGUUCAAGGAUGAAAGACGGUUUCGGCUGUCACUUACAGAUGGACCCGCGGCGCAUUAGCUAGUUGGUGAGGUAACGGCUCACCAAGGCGACGAUGCGUAGCCGACCUGAGAGGGUGAUCGGCCACACUGUGACUGAGACACGUCCCAGACUCCUACGGGAGGCAGCAGUAGGGAAUCUUCCGCAAUGGACGAAAGUCUGACGGAGCAACGCCGCGUGAGUCAUGAAGGUUUUCGGAUCGUAAAGCUCUGUUGUUAGGGAAGAACAAGUGCAAGAGUAACUGCUUGCACCUUGACGGUACCUAACCAGAAAGCCCCGGCUAACUACGUGCCAGCAGCCGCGGUAAUACGUAGGUGGCAAGCGUUGUCCGGAAUUAUUGGGCGUAAAGGGCUCGCAGGCGGUUUUUUAAGUCUGAUGUGAAAGCCCCCGGCUCAACCGGGGAGGGUCAUUGGAAACUGGGAAACUUGAGUGCAGAAGAGGAGAGUGGAAUUCCACGUGUAGCGGUGAAAUGCGUAGAGAUGUGGAGGAACACCAGUGGCGAAGGCGACUCUCUGGUCCGUAACUGACGCUGAGAGCGAAAAGACGG